GGCCGCGGGAAUUCGAUUAGAGUUUGAUCAUGGCUCAGAUUGAACGCUGGCGGCAUGCUUUACACAUGCAAGUCGAACGGCAGCACGGGGGCAACCCUGGUGGCGAGUGGCGAACGGGUGAGUAAUGCAUCGGAACGCGUCCUGUAAUGGGGGAUAACCUAGCGAAAGUUAGGCUAAUACCGCAUACGUCCUGAGGGAGAAAGCGGGGGAUCGUAAGACCUCGUGUUAUAGGAGCGGCCGAUGUCGGAUUAGCUAGUUGGUGGGGUAAAGGCCUACCAAGGCGACGAUCCAUAGCGGGUCUGAGAGGACGGCCCGCCACACUGGGACUGAGACACGGCCCAGACUCCUACGGGAGGCAGCAGUGGGGAAUUUUGGACAAUGGGGGCAACCCUGAUCCAGCCAUGCCGCGUGAGUGAAGAAGGCCUUCGGGUUGUAAAGCUCUUUCGGCCGGGAAGAAAUCGUGCGGGCUAAUACCCUGUAUGGAUGACGGUACCGGAAGAAGAAGCACCGGCUAACUACGUGCCAGCAGCCGCGGUAAUACGUAGGGUGCGAGCGUUAAUCGGAAUUACUGGGCGUAAAGCGUGCGCAGGCGGUUUCGUAAGACAGAUGUGAAAUCCCCGGGCUUAACCUGGGAACUGCGUUUGUGACUGCGAGACUUGAGUGCGGCAGAGGGGGGUGGAAUUCCACGUGUAGCAGUGAAUGCGUAGAGAUGUGGGAACACCGAUGGCGAAGGCAGCCCUCUGGGUCGACACUGACGCUCAUGCACGAAAGCGUGGGGAGCAAAGGAUUAGAUACCUGGUAGUCCCCUAACGAUGCGACUGUUGGGGAGAUUUAGUACGUAGCUAGCGUGAGUCGCUGGAGUACGCGAGAUAACUUGAGGGCAGCGGGUGUGAUAUUGC
rnacentral:rRNA from 1 species